GCGUACACGGUGGAUGCCCUGGCAGUCAGAGGCGAUGAAGGGCGUACUAAUCUGCGAUAAGCGCCGGUAAGGUGAUAUGAACCGUUAUAACCGGCGAUACCCGAAUGGGGAAACCCAGUGUGAUUCGUCACACUAUCAUUAACUGAAUCCAUAGGUUAAUGAGGCGAACCGGGGGAACUGAAACAUCUAAGUACCCCGAGGAAAAGAAAUCAACCGAGAUUCCCCCAGUAGCGGCGAGCGAACGGGGAGGAGCCCAGAGCCUGAAUCAGCAUGUGUGUUAGUGGAAGCGUCUGGAAAGGCGCGCGAUACAGGGUGACAGCCCCGUACACAAAAGCGCAUGUGCUGUGAGCUCGAUGAGUAGGGCGGGACACGUGGUAUCCUGUCUGAAUAUGGGGGGACCAUCCUCCAAGGCUAAAUACUCCUGACUGACCGAUAGUGAACCAGUACCGUGAGGGAAAGGCGAAAAGAACCCCGGCGAGGGGAGUGAAAAAGAACCUGAAACCGUGUACGUACAAGCAGUGGGAGCACCCUUUGGGUGUGACUGCGUACCUUUUGUAUAAUGGGUCAGCGACUUAUAUUCUGUAGCAAGGUUAACCGAAUAGGGGAGCCGGAGGGAAACCGAGUCUUAACCGGGCGUUAAGUUGCAGGGUAUAGACCCGAAACCCGGUGAUCUAGCCAUGGGCAGGUUGAAGGUUGGGUAACACUAACUGGAGGACCGAACCGACUAAUGUUGAAAAAUUAGCGGAUGACCUGUGGCUGGGGGUGAAAGGCCAAUCAAACCGGGAGAUAGCUGGUUCUCCCCGAAAGCUAUUUAGGUAGCGCCUCGUGAAUUCAUCUCCGGGGGUAGAGCACUGUUUCGGCUAGGGGGCCAUCCCGGCUUACCAACCCGAUGCAAACUGCGAAUACCGGAGAAUGUUAUCACGGGAGACACACGGCGGGUGCUAACGUCCGUCGUGAAGAGGGAAACAACCCAGACCGCCAGCUAAGGUCCCAAAGUCAUGGUUAAGUGGGAAACGAUGUGGGAAGGCCCAGACAGCCAGGAUGUUGGCUUAGAAGCAGCCAUCAUUUAAAGAAAGCGUAAUAGCUCACUGGUCGAGUCGGCCUGCGCGGAAGAUGUAACGGGGCUAAACCAUGCACCGAAGCUGCGGCAGCGACACUGUGUGUUGUUGGGUAGGGGAGCGUUCUGUAAGCCUGUGAAGGUGUGUCGUGAGGC
rnacentral:rRNA from 1 species